GUAGGACUGUGCCGCUCAGACCUUCAGGCCACCGGAUCUGCGGCAAGAGGAAGGGAAGAGGGCAGAGAAGAGGGCCGAGGCUGCCGCUCCUCUCGUCAGCCCAGCCUUGCCACCGCGGCCUCGCCAGUCGCCUUGCACUUCGCAGCCACGGCCACGCCUCAAACCCACCACACGAGGGCAGGAAGAGAAUCAGUACUAGCGAGCAUGACCUCUGCAAACAAUAGGAGGCUGCGAGCUUUCCCUUUUCAAAUCCACCCGCAACAAGCAAAGCGAUCGACAGCACCAAAUCCACCGAAGAACUCCAAGUACGACGACAAUUCAACCAAACUAGAGUAAACUAGAAGGGCGAGGGCCGAGGAGACAGUCGGAUAAGGAGUACACAAAUACAACGAACUUGGAUCAGUGUUGAAGCCACAGGCCAGUACUGAGCUGUUUGGAUGGCACCCUGUCACCCUGGCCUGGGAGUGCUCGCCCAGGCCGGUCGAUCCAUUGCCAGGCAUUUGGAAUCAAACUCCUGGGAGUGCUUCCUGGCGAAGGCAACUUCUCACAGGGUUCAAUCCAAACUGGCCUUAUAUCUCCUAUGGAGUUGGAUCUGUUGUAUCAGUCUCUAAGAAAUGAGCAACAGCAGAGUAGAGUUGCUGUUCGUCAAAUGGCUUUGACACAUAUCCAUCCAUUCCACAUUCCAUACAUUUUUCAAAGGUCGCUUGGAUUACAUCUGCUGUCAUGGCCAAAAUCGGUACAUGCCAAUAAUGGGCCUUAUUUCCAUAA